rnacentral:misc_RNA from 1 species
UCAUCCAUGUCAAUUGGGUCCGGC